rnacentral:rRNA from 1 species
GGUGAACGCUGGCGGCGUGCUUAACACAUGCAAGUCGAACGAGAAGUGAAGACGGAAACCUUCGGGCGGAAGGCUUUAUUUCGAGUGGCGGACGGGUGAGUAACGCGUGGGUAACCUGCCUCAUACAGGGGGAUAACAGUUGGAAACGACUGUUAAUACCGCAUAAGACCACAGCACCGCAUGGUGCGGGGGUAAAAACUCCGGUGGUAUGAGAUGGACCCGCGUUCGAUUAGCCAGUUGGCGGGGUAACGGCCCACCAAAGCGACGAUCGAUAGCCGAUCUGAGAGGAUGACCGGCCACAUUGGGACUGAGACACGGCCCAAACUCCUACGGGAGGCAGCAGUGGGGAAUAUUGCACAAUGGGGGAAACCCUGAUGCAGCGACGCCGCGUGAGUGAAGAAGUAUUUCGGUAUGUAAAGCUCUAUCAGCAGGGAAGAAAAUGACGGUACCUGAGUAAGAAGCCCCGGCUAACUACGUG